CUUUGGCGCCUAAUCCCCUCACUCCAGUUUCGUCUUCCUCUAUCCAUCUCCUCCGAAAUCUCCAUUCACCCUUCGAAUCCUCAAAUCCUCCGCGUCUCGAGGAGUCCAGAUGCUUCUACUCCAGCCCCGCGCAGUCCCUGCGCCCGCUCUGCGAGAGAGGCCACCGCCACCUCGGCCCCGGCCUCGCCGGCGACUGGCGCCGCCUCCUCUCGCCGCGGCGUCCGGCUCCAUCGCCGUCAACUCCGAUGAGGAUGCCUUCACCAGGUGCUCCGGGUACCUGUUCGAGGAGGGCGCGGCCACCGAGUCGGAGCUCCCCAGCACGUACGACCUCCCUGGCAUCGCCGCCGUGUACCGCCGCCGCCCGCUCCUCGUACUCCGUCGCUCGCUGCAGAUCGGCACCUCCUUCGGCCGAUGGUUCGCGCUGCGCUACCUCGACCGCGUCAACGAGCGCGCCGACGACAUGUUCGAGCUUCGGGCGGCCCAGCUAAGGAGGAUAUUACUGGAACUUGGCCCAGUCUGUUUCAUUUCCCAAUGCCUGCUUGUUCAUGUGUGCGACUCCCUUAUGUGAUGAUCAUUAGCUUGUAUAUGAUGCUGCUCUUUUAAUCGCAGGCAUUUGUGAAGAUCGCGCAAGCAGUUUCUUCACGGCCGGUGAAUUUGACUAGUUGCUACAUUUUCACUUGACCUAUUGAAAUCGCAUGCUUGGAGUGCCUUAACUUUGACUUUAUAUGUGAUAAUUGCUUGUUUCAUUUCCUGCAGGAUAUUAUUCCGCCUGCAUACCUUGAUGAGCUGUCGCUACUUCAGGACCGCAUAGCACCAUUUUCAACCGAUGCUGCAUUUAACAUUAUAGAAAAAGAGCUUGGGCUACCACUGGAUAUGAUUUUCUCUGAGAUAUCACCUGAGCCUGUUGCUGCUGCAUCUCUUGGGCAGGCUAAACUUCGCUCCAAUGGGAAGGUCGUUGCUGUCAAAGUACAAAGACCUGGUGUUCAAGCAGCAAUUUCAUUGGACAUAUAUAUCUUGAGGUUCCUAGCUAGUCUUGCAAGGAAGGCUGCCAAGUUAAACACAGACCUCCCAGCUGUGCUUGACGAGUGGGCAUCAAGCCUAUUUCGGGUAAAUCACAUUUGAUGCAGGAGAUGGAUUAUAGAGAAGAAGCAAGAAAUGGACUUAAGUUCAGAGAGUUGUUUGGGAAAUUUAGAGAUGUCUCGGUUCCUGAAAUGUAUAUGGAGCAGACUAGAAGGCGAGUCCUUGUCAUGGAAUGGAUAGAGGGUGAAAAGUUGUCAGAAGUCAGAGAUCAAUAUUUGGUUGAGGUUGGAGUAUAUUGUUCGCUUUCCCAGCUAUUAGAAUAUGGAUUUUAUCAUGCAGAUCCACACCCCGGAAAUCUUUUGCGUACGGUUGAUGGGAAAUUAGCAUACUUGGAUUUUGGGAUGAUGGGUGAAUUCCGGCAAGAGCUUCGCGAUGGAUUUAUUGAAGCCUGUCUUCACCUUGUUAACCGUGAUUUUGAUGCUUUAGCAAAAGAUUUUAUCACUCUUGGUUUGCUUCCUCCAACUGCCCAGAAGGGUGAAGUCACAAAGGCAUUGACAGGUGUAUUUGAGAAUGCUGUUAACAGAGGAGUUCAGAAUAUAAGCUUUGGAGAUUUGUCAGGAAAUCUUGGACGAACAAUGUAUAAAUUCAAGUUCCAGAUACCUUCUUACUUUUCCCUUGUAAUUCGAAGGUAAUGACUAAUGAGUUCGUCCACAAUAUUUGAGCGAAGUGCUUCACUAACAGAGCUUGCAUACAGGCAGAUGCUAUUGAAUAUUUCUGAGGUGUCUGAUAUUUGUGUUUGUCAUAAAAGAGGUUUGCCGUGUGAUUUUUCAGCCUUGCUGUCUUGGAAGGUAUUGCAAUCAGCUUUAAUCCAAACUAUAAAGUGCUGGGCAGUUCGUACCCAUGGAUUGCAAGAAAAGUUCUCACUGACAAUUCACCAAAGCUCCGAUCAACUUUGCAGGCUCUUCUUUAUAAGGAUGGCACUUUCCAAAUUGAUCGUCUGGAGUCUUUGUUAUCUGAGUCACUUCGUGCCAGAACAGAGCAAUCAUUGGUCAGAAAUCAACAAGAAGAUGUUGAUAGUGCGAGAUAUGCAAUUAAGCAAGUCUUGUCAUUCACGCUCACGGACCAGGGUGCCUUUGUGAAGGAUUUACUUCUUCAGGAGAUUGCUAAGGUAGUACCCUGUUAAAGGCACAAUUAAACAUUGAGUUAGCUUGAUCAUCAUAAUAUUUGGAAAAUCCAAGGCAUCUUAAGAUUCUGUAUUCUAAAUAUUUUACGCCUAAGCAUUUAAGCAAACAGGUCGCAAAAAGGUUAAUUCAUUUUUUUAGUUUCUUUUUUAUUUUUGAAUUUGAAUUCAUUUUUAUCGCAAAAGUAAUAAGUCACUCCAACCGCUUAGGUUCCAUUUUCGACAUUCUACGCAUGCUGACAAGGAAGGUAUCAGAUAAUAUAUAUAGUAUGUUUUGAAAUUAGUAAAUUUGUUAGGGAAAUUUCUUAAAUGGUGACAGGCAUUCCUUGUUGUUCAUCUUUAUUGGUUUUCAAUAAAUUUCGAUUGACUUUUAGAAGAUAUCUUCUAGCAUUAUUCAUGUUGGCUUAAAGUGAGCUUGCAUACCUGUUUGAUAAGAGUACUUUCUGGCUAUGCGUUCUCAAGAAUUUAGUGUGCAGGGAAUAGAUGCACUUGGUGUAGCUACAUUAAGCUCAGCAACAUCUGCAGCAGCUUCCAGAUUGCCAUUUGCUGGUGGUCCAUCUCCAUUAACCUCACUAGAUGAUGAGGAUGUCACUAACUUGAGAAAUCUAUAUCGCCUGCUCCUACUUUUAUCUAAGGUUUCUCAGAAGGAAAAUUCAUCUCCGAUUCCUGGAAAUAACAGUGCCAUAGAGAAGGAAGGUGGUAGCACAGAUGAACUUUCUCUUGUGCUGUAUGAAAUAACAUCUCUGCCAGAAUUUUUGCCAGUUAUUUCCAUCAUUCCUGAGCUUCCACUGGAGUCCCAACAGCAGUUGCUUCUUCUGCCAACAGAUUUAGCAAGCCGUAUUUUAUCUCGGGCUGUUGCUAGAACCAUUAGAAGAAUGUUCAUAUAAAGCUGAAGGUACAAGUUUUCCAUCCCUGCUUCCUUAAAUGUUUCUUUAACUAUUAUUUUGGAAUCACUACUAGAAGACUAGGAGUUUUUCCCCCCUUGCAGUAGCAUCUAAUCUAGAAUCCAAGAUCAAACUGAUUUUUGUUAUGAAUGAUUUUGGGACACUUCUUUAUUAUAUGUACAUAUUUUUCAAACAAAACGAGGCCCUGUAAAAGGCCCUUUCUGUUAUGUCCAUAUGGUAUACUAAUGAAGUUUUGAGUUAAAUUUAUGUGUGAUAAAAAUAGAGUAAAAUGCACCAGAGGCCCAUCAACUUGUAGUCACUUAGGUCCGUAAACUCUAAAAGUGUAUUUCUGGGUGCAUAAACUUAUAAUUUGUAUCACUUAGAUCAGGCCCGUGAACUUGUAAUUUGUGUCCCAUAUAUCAUGCACUGAAUGGCAUGGAUUCAUGUUAUUUGAUUUUAUUUCACAAUCUAUAUGACAUAACGAAAUGGCAAUAGCAUGUUAACCUGA